AUUGAACGCUGGCGGCAGGCCUAACACAUGCAAGUCGAACGAGUGGCGGACGUGAGUGUAAUGUCUGGGAAACUGCCUGAUGGAGGGGGAUAACGUGCGGACAGUGGCGCUAAUACCGUAUAGUAGCAGAUGAGCCUAUGUGGGAUUAGCUAGUUGGUGGGGUAAAGGCCUACCAAGGCGACGAUCCCUAACUGGUCUGAGAGGAUGAUCAGCCACACUGGGACUGAGACACGGUCCAGACUCCUACGGGAGGCAGCAGUGGGGAAUAUUGGACAAUGGGCGAAAGCCUGAUCCAGCCAUGCCGCGUGUAUGAAGAAGGCCUUCGGGUUGUAAAGUACUUUCAGCGGGGAGGCGUUACCCGCAGAAGAAGCACCGGCUAACUCCGUGCCAGCAGCCGCGGUAAUAC
rnacentral:rRNA from 1 species